UUAACAACCUAAGUAAUCUAACUAAAAUUGGAUUAGUGUUCAUCUCAUCCCCAAAGUCUUGAUUCUUCCCCAUCCUCUGCACCAUCACCGAUCUGCUCAUCCUCUCUCGUACAUGCUGCUUCUCUUCAUCGCCGAUACAAAUAAGAACCCGACGGUGUCCUCGCUUCUCCUCUCCUCUGUUUGUCUCCGCAAAACCCUUUUCCCCAAAUCACUCUCUUUGAUUUCGCACCUCGGUCGUCGUGUUCCCCAAAUCAUCGAUUAAAUUUUUUAUUUUUUAAUUUUUGUUUUUCAUUCGUGUGAUUCUGCAGGUAACAUUUCAAUUCGUCUAAAUUGCUGUUUUUCGGUGUGGUCUAUGUUUGUGUUUCGUGUGUUUUUCUUUUCUGUGGGGAUAAUUGAACCUGUUGCUGAAGCGGAAGUUGAAUUUAGUUGUUGUUCGGUAGUGGGGUUUUCAAUUUUCAUUGGGAAAUUCUGGGAAAAGCAAGAAUUUUUAUUUCUUCAUGUUUUGUUUUUCUAGUUGCUUUCGUGGGAAGUACUGUUUUUUUAAAUAAUGGCUAAAGCUUUUAGCUUUUCUUAUCAGACAAAGGAAGCUAUGUUUUAUUUUCAACAUACCAUUCCUGGGCUUUUGUUUUUGUUUCUUUUUUAGUUUUGUUCAGCUCCAAUGUAGUGUGUAUAGCAAUGUGUCAUACCAUAUAUGUGAAGCAUCUUAGUUUGCAAAGCUUUUUUCAUCUUCAAUGUUCUCUUAUGUGAGCUUUUUGGUUUUGUUAUUUGGCUGGCUUUGAGUACUAAUUUGUGCAUUUAUUUGAGUCUCUCUUGUACCCUUAUUUGCCCAUAGUGGAGUUGUGUCUUUGGUCUGGACUCAGCAGUGGUUUAAAAUUUCCAGUGGAAUUAUUGGGGUUUGUGGUGAUGAUCACCAUUUUGUUGAUAACAUGUCCUCAAAUGCUGCUGACACACUGCACAGGUUCUGCAUAAUUGCUUAUCAUUGUAACAAAAAGAACUUGUACAUAGUGUGAAUGGUUCUUAAUAAAGCAUCUAUGCUGGAAAAUUUGAGAUUGCAGUUAGACAUAUAGUUAUAAUCUUUUUCGAUUUGAUUUGCUUUACACUCUCAUUAGCGUAAGCUUUUUUUUUUAUCUUUUUUGCAUGACUCUGAUUUGCUAUAGUGUUUCUUCUCUAUGUUGGUUUUACAACAAAGGUUAAUGUUAAUGUUAUUUGGACGCACAAUCUAGGCACGCCCUUAAUAAAUUAAUUAAAUUAUAAUACCUUUUGAAUUGCAGAGAAGAUUUGCAGCAAUUUAUGUAUUUGUUUCAUUCUGCUCCCCUAUAAGCAUUGCUAUGGUGUCUGCACAUGUUAAAGAAAUCAAGGUUUACAUUCUGAGGCCUCUCCUGAGGGUAGCGAGUGAGUAAGUUGUCCUUGCUUCUCUUGAAACAUUCCUGGGCUCCCCAGCAAGUCCCUAAAAUAUUCCCAUUUCAAACAAGAGAGUGAAGCAAACAAGUUUUGAUACUAUUUGAAUGUCACUGUAAACAAGUUGCAUGGCCUCAACCUUUUGAAGCUUUCACCUGGGCCACCUUGAAGGAACUAGCAAACCCAGACACACACUCUCUUCUUCCAAUUCUGGUUCCACUGUUGUUUAGAUUUCUAUUUUUAUUUUUUAUCAUGCUUUACUAGAGGCUCUGAAGCAAUAUAAAUUAGUAGUAAGUUUUGAAAAUAUAGUCUUGACGAACCUGAGGCACUUUUGGACAAGUAAGUUCAAGAGCACACUAAAUCAGAUGAAGCAUCUUAAGGAUGUAAAAGAUGUCGAGGCUGGACUCUUGCAGUCAGAAUUGGAAGCCCUUAGAGCUCAAUAUAGUGAUUUUAAACACUCUUUUUGAGGAUGAGGCUGAGAAAGAAAAACUAAGAAAGCAAGUUUUCCAGCUAAAGGGUGAACUAAAGAAGAAGGACGAUGCAUUAACCAGUUUCGAGAAAAGGUUCAGGGAUAGUAAUGGACGCAUACAAGUUACUGAUGGAGCUAAAACCAUUCUAAAGAAUAAAAAGACUGCUUUAAGUCCUCAGCAUUCAAGAGAAAUGGAAAGACUGAGGGAGAAAAUAAAAACGCUUGAGGGUAAGAUACAGUCAAAGGACAAUGCCCUGGAAACUUCCACAACUUCAUUUCUGGAAAAGGAAAAUGAACCCCAGACCUAAAUUGCGGAGCUAGAGCGCAAAGUAAAGGAAUUUAUCAGAGUAUUGCUUCACAUUAGGUUGCUCAGGAUAGAAGUAAUACUAUCACAAAUGAGAUAUCUGGAGAAAUUAGUGCAGGGGAGCAUCUGAAUGAUGCUGCAUAUGGUUUUGUAGAAAUUGGGGCUGCGUUGUUACUCAAGAGUAAUGUGAACCUGCAAGAGAAAGAAGCAGGAACCUCUUUAAUGGAUACUGCAGACAGCAAUCUUAAUGCACAUUAACCGACUUGUCAUCACUGAAAGAAAGAAACAAAUCAAUGGAAAGCGAACUUAAAGAAGAACAGUCAACAGUCAAUUGUUUGCAAGACAAGAAGAAAAUGCACUUGAUUUAGAACACAAAGCUUUAGCUUCAAAUGUUAGAUCAUUUUAAUGGUACUAAUAAUGUUUGGUGGUUUUAGCUAAUAAGUUCUUUGUGAAUCUUAUGGAUAGUGCUACUAAUACUUAUUUUCAAGCGGUUGUAGAUGUUUUUUUUUUUUUGGUUACAGUGGUUGUAGAUGUUGAUUAUGAUUAUUGUUGGAUUGAUUUGUGAUUCUCGUGCAUGCUUCUUUGGUCCAAGUCCAACACAUGUUGCAAACUGCUAUUUGACUUUUUUGUGCUUUCAUGGAACUUUUUAGUUGUUAAUGUUGCUCUCCAAUUGGAUAAUAAAGGAUAUUACUAGUUGUUAA